rnacentral:lncRNA from 1 species
CCACCUUACUGGGCAGGCUGGUUGGAGUUUCUCCACAGACCCUCCUCCCACCUGCCUCUCUCAAUUGGUUACAGCUGGUGUCAGGGAAAGGCAAUUUCCCAGAAGAUAGAAACACCUGAAACUGAUGUAGCUUCCCAAUAAGAUCUCAGGAGUUGGGCAAGUAAGCUCAAGCAAGUGCAUUAAGCGUCAAAGUGGUGGAAUUUAACUGGUAUAUGACAUUGCACAGGUAAGUGAAGAAUGCUUCAAGAGAGCGCGGAGAAAACGCUGGUGAGCAUGCAUAAAACGCUGGUAAACGCACCGCGCAUGCUCCCCUCCCACGGGCUAGCAAGGCCAUUGCACGUAGGGACAGCACACUGCAAGGAGAGAAUCGGGGAGAAGGAAUGCAAGACCCUGGAAGCAUACCAACGUAUAAAACUCCAAGCCAAAAGAUCUCAGAUUUUUCAACCAAUAUGAGACUCUGCCAAGGGCCUUGCUCUGUCACCCAUGCUAGAGUGCAGUGGUGCAAUCACAGCUCAUCGCAGCCUCAAUUUCCCAGGCUCCAUUGAUCCUCCCUCUUUUGCUUCCCUGGUAAGUUGGGAUCACAGGCACAUGCCACCAUGCCCAGCUGUUUUUUUUUUUUUUCUUUUUUUCAUUUUUAGUAGAGAUAGGGUUUCAUGUUGCCCAAGCUAAUCUUGAACUCCUGAGCUCAACUGAUCUACCCUCCUUGGCCUCCCAAGGUUGUGGGAUUACAGGUGUAAGCUGAGGCACUGAGCUGGUAUGUGCUAUUUCAAUCUAGUUUGUUUGUAAGGAAAUUGAGUAUUAUUGGAUUAAAACGUUUGCAUGUUAGAACUUAAAUGUAAACUUGAGACCUGCUUGAUUCUAUUACUUGCAUUUCUUGACUUUUCUAUCCUCAAAUACAACCCAUCUCAUCUUCAGACACUUUUUAAAAUAAGGUUUUGAAAAUUGUCUUCAAAUGCCUACUUUCUAUUUAGCCAAGUUUUUCAAAUGUGUAAGUUUCUGGUUUCACAGGUACAGGAUAUUUCAAAGAUUCACAAAAGCUCAACAAAUAAUUGUUACUUGGAUGAAUCUCUUCCUGUUCUGUCAUUUUAAUCAUGAAGCAACUUGUGGCUAUAAAGAAAUUAAAAGCGUAUUCCACAUUCACACAGUAAAUGAUGGAACCAGGUUUUGAAAUAGAAAUUUCUCACCUCAACUGCCUCUACUUCAGUUAACGUUAUUGAUGACCAAGAAAGACACCACAAACACACAUGAAGAUAAUGUACAAAGCAUAUUACUCAAUUUAGUGGAAAAAUGAUCAUUAAGAUAAAUAGAAAUCAAGAAGUGAGUGGCACAUCUCUGACUUAGAAAGGUGCUUCAUAGAUUAUGACAUCAAAAGAGACAUAGAGCAUGACAUUUCUAUGGACCAGUGAGAUGACCUGACUUAGGCUGCUUGUGGCUAGAGCAGAAUGGCCCAGAGUCCCUGGCAAAUGAGGCAACUGGCUACUCAGUGUCCACUUGACCAGCCCAAGUGCUUUAAGGGCAGUAUCUCUGCACACCUGUAAAUAGGCUGAUAUACAUUCAGCCUGCUUUUUGUACAGGCACUCUGUUUAUUAAUAUUAAGAUACUCCUACUUCUUUUGGUCAGUAGCCAAUUCUCCCAGCCACCCAAAUACCACCCACAGGUCUUUCCAUUGUCCUGCAACAGAAGGGAAAUCCCAGGCAGCAGGAUGCCUCCAGGACUCCACUUCAUUUUCAGCCCUCUACCCAUGACCUAGCCGUUUGUUCUGACACAUUGGUUAAAAACUGCAGUCUUGGGCCGGGCGCAGUGGCUCAAGCCUGUAAUCCCAGCACUUUGGGAGGCCAAGGCAGGUGGAUCACGAGGUCAAGAGAUCGAGACCAUCCUGGUCAACAUGGUGAAACCCCAUCUCUACUAAAAUUACAAAAAAUUAGCUGGGCAUGGUGGUGCGUGCCUGUAGUCCCAGCUACUCGGGAGGCUGAGGCAGGAGAAUUGCCUGAACCCAGGAGGUGGAGGUUGCAGUGAGCCGAGUUCACGCCAUUGCACUCCAGCCUGGGUAACAAGAGCAAAACUCUGUCUCAAAAAAAAAAAAAAAAAACUGCAGUCUUAGAAAAUUUACUUUAGUGGUUAAGGGUUGAAUAUUUUCCUGGGAAUUUUUGAUUAAUUAUUUAUUUAAAAUUCUAGUUAGACACUCUAAAAUAAUUAAAUGUUAUUUGAAGUCAUUACCUAACCAUUGAGCAUCUCUUAAUAAUACCACCAUGCAUUUAUAAAAUACAAUCCAUUUUUUAAAAAAAUCUAGUUCUACAAUAGAGUUACUAGAUGUAUAAUCAAUGGUGGGAACUUGAUUAUGUUGUUUCAAAUCACAGGCUAUAGAACUAAGACCUAGGUUUGAAUGUGACUUCUAUAUUUAACUAACUGUGGAAGUGCAAAUCCUUUCAUUGUAUCAUUUCCAAAAUGAGGAUAAUAAUCUCAAUUGCCUCUUUCUUCACCCUCACAAUCACUGCACCCAGUAGAUCCUGCACCAGAGGGUUGCAAUGUGAUAACUAGCCUUUAAAAUCUAAAUAGAAUAUAUCGAUGUAGUUCCCUUUAUUUUUGUUAAUUAAAAAAAAAGCAGCAUAUCACAUUAACUAGUGACAUUACACUCAAAGGGAAAAAUAAUGAAUAGGUCAAUUUUUGCUUUGUUAUAAUAUGUCACUUAUUUAUGUAAGUAAGCAAUAUUAAAGUGCAAUGCUAGUAUAUUCUGGAUAUACAAACACACACACACACACAAAAAGUGACAUAGUUGAAAUGUCUCCUUUUAUUUCAACUUAUUUAUGUUAAUAAAUACCACAGAAAGGGAC